rnacentral:misc_RNA from 1 species
GUCCAGUACGCCCUCCGGGGGAACGCCAAUAGUCGGCACCCUGCCGUCGGGCACGGCUGUGGACUCUUGCUGCCGGCACACCGGUCUGGGCUGGCGCUGUCCCGAAGAGACUCGCGACCGCGAUCACGCGUGUACCGGCUCACGGCAAAUCGCGUCAGUUACACGGUGGCAGCCGUCCCGCGCCAAGCAACGACGGCGCCGAGCUCACGAGACGACAGGAGACCGUCAUCGCCCAGCUCCGCACGCACACCUGUCCGCCCUUUGCAUUCCUGCAGCGACGGGUGACUGGCAGUGACAAGAUGGAGUGCACGUGGUGCGCUGCCUGCUACUCCGCUCGCACGGUGGCGUCCCCACCCCCGCCAGGGCCUCCGCCGCCGUGUCGGGCCCGCAGUGCCACGCGCGAGUUCGCGAAUCGCGCGACGCAUGGACCCCCGCCCCCAGUCGCGUGUCCGCCGCCGCCCCCCUGCACCCCCCCCUCAGGACGGCAAGCUGCGACUUCGUCGCGCGCAGGCACAUGCCUAUCCGCCAGCCCCCUCCGCUGGACACACCCACUCCCUGCCAGGACCGUGCGGGUUCAGGGGAAGGCGGGAUGCCCCUUGCUGCCACAGACUCAUGGCAGCGUCCCACCUGUCGCGGCGCAUGCGGGCACGCCAUCCAGGCACGCCACCCACCCCAUGGCAUCGACGAUAGCGGGGAAUGGGGGCGACGGCGAGCCACCAAGACAGCAGCGCUGCCCCGAAACACGUAUCCGUAUCCACCAGCGCGAGCACUGUGCGCACGCGCGGCCGACCACAGCUGGCACGGCGUGCCGCAUCCAAGCAAAGCAUGCAGAGGUCAGAAGAGCAAGAGCGAUGGACGGGAGAGGCUGAGAAGAGGCGCGCACCGGGCAGCCCAACAGUGCACGUGUGCGGCAUGUGCGGCAUCGCCUGCAUCCCCCACCCGCUGGGCUGAUGUGGCGCAGAUGCCGGAGGCAUGACCAGAGUAGCCCGAGUGGCACCACCGAGCUCUGCGCACUCCCACGCGGCGAGCCCACACACCGCGUUACUGCAUGCCGCGGCUUGAGCUGGCUAAGGAAGAAGCAUGGCGUACAGACCGAGUGCCGGGUCUCACAGGGCCCUCACCGGGACGUGGCCAGCGUCCUCCCUGCGCUCAUCCGUCACGCACCCAGACCACCGCCUGUUGCCCGCACGAGGCGCCACCGCCGCCGCCCUCGAGCAGAACCACAAGCGCGGCCCACCCGCAUCAAGGCAUGCAGAGCUCACCCAUCUCUGUUUGGCGCCGACCGCGCAGCGCGUCGGCGAAGGAGGGUCGAGUAGGGUCGAGGAAGGACGGGACGAGACGGUGAGGCGCAUGGCCCGAUUCGACCACAGACAGCUCGCCCUACACAGCGGGGAUGUAGCGGUGUUGUCGCAGGGGCAGGUGAGCUGUGGCGGUGCAUGUGCGCAUAUCUGCUGGCUUGAUGAAUGCCGAAUAGAGAUGGUGACAGGCAUAUCUUUAUCGGCACAUGUAAUGCUCUUUGCUGGUUCGCGCUUUCGCUGGGGACUGUGGGUCUGUGUGCCGGCUUUCGGACAUUGGUUGCGGCGUGAAGACCGCGAUCGACGAUGUCUGCCUGCCCGGGUUUUCAGAGUGAAGAGAACGUGCACAUGCGGCAGCGGCGGGGCAACGACCUGAAUGUAAACAAGACGUUGAGACACACUUAAAGGACAGAAAUGAGUGGCUCUGCUGACUAGCCGUGGAGUUGGAGAGGAGGGCGGGCACGGAUGGAGACGCUACCCCGCUUUUUUUUUCGCGGCUGCCAUACCUUUU